rnacentral:tRNA from 1 species
GGAUGUGUCGUCUAAAUGGAAUAGGGCCCCGGAUUUUCACUCCGGCUGAUGCGGGUUCGAGUCCCGUCACAUCCUCCA